UUCACAGCAUUGUCAGCUAGCAGAUCUCAACUUCACUAAAUUAGAAAGACUAAAAUACUUAAAUCUUUCUAGGAUGGGGAUAACAGGUAUCAUUCCAACUCAUAUAAGAGGUCUUCAAAAUCUCAAUUAUUUGGACUUGUCUUGCAACAACCUUACAGGUAUCAUUCCAAC